GAGGAGCUUGCUCCUUUGACGUUAGCGGCGGACGGGUGAGUAACACGUGGGUAACCUACCUAUAAGACUGGAAUAACUCCGGGAAACCGGGGCUAAUGCCGGAUAACAUAUCGAACCGCAUGGUUCGAUAGUGAAAGACGGUCUUGCUGUCACUUAUAGAUGGACCCGCGCCGUAUUAGCUAGUUGGUGAGGUAACGGCUCACCAAGGCAACGAUACGUAGCCGACCUGAGAGGGUGAUCGGCCACACUGGAACUGAGACACGGUCCAGACUCCUACGGGAGGCAGCAGUAGGGAAUCUUCCGCAAUGGGCGAAAGCCUGACGGAGCAACGCCGCGUGAGUGAUGAAGGUCUUCGGAUCGUAAAGCUCUGUUGUUAGGGAAGAACAAAUGUGUAAGUAACUAUGCACAUCUUGACGGUACCUAACCAGAAAGCCACGGCUAACUACGUGCCAGCAGCCGCGGUAAUACGUAGGUGGCAAGCGUUAUCCGGAAUUAUUGGGCGUAAAGCGCGCGUAGGCGGUUUUUUAAGUCUGAUGUGAAAGCCCACGGCUCAACCGUGGAGGGUCAUUGGAAACUGGAAAACUUGAGUGCAGAAGAGGAAAGUGGAAUUCCAUGUGUAGCGGUGAAAUGCGCAGAGAUAUGGAGGAACACCAGUGGCGAAGGCGGCUUUCUGGUCUGUAACUGACGCUGAUGUGCGAAAGCGUGGGGAUCAAACAGGAUUAGAUACCCUGGUAGUCCACGCCGUAAACGAUGAGUGCUAAGUGUUAGGGGGUUUCCGCCCCUUAGUGCUGCAGCUAACGCAUUAAGCACUC
rnacentral:rRNA from 1 species